rnacentral:rRNA from 1 species
CCUACGGGUGGCUGCAGUGGGGAAUAUUGGACAAUGGGCGCAAGCCUGAUCCAGCCAUGCCGCGUGAGUGAUGAAGGCCUUCGGGUCGUAAAGCUCUGUGGGAAGGGACGAAAAAACCGGUCCUAAUACGCCCGGUCUUGACGGUACCUUCUUAGCAAGCACCGGCUAACUCCGUGCCAGCAGCCGCGGUAAUACGGAGGGUGCAUACGUGGCUCGGAAUCGUUCGUCGGAGGUCCGGUAAGUCGGGUCUGAAAUCCCUCGGCUCAACCGAGGAAGGGCAUCCGAAACUGCCGGGCUUGAGUACGGAAGAGGGUCUCGGAAUUCCCGGUGUAGAGGUGAAAUUCGUAGAUAUCGGGAGGAACACCAGUGGCGAAGGCGGAGAACUGGGCCGAUACUGACGCUGAGGUGCGAAAGCGUGGGGAGCAAACAGGAUUAGAUACCCUAGUAGUC